ensembl:lncRNA
UUGGGGUCCUGGUGCUCGGGGUCCUGGUGCUCGGGUCCUGGUGUUCAGGUUAUGCAGAUGCUUCAGUGGAUUUUCUGAGCUCCACAUUCAGACAGUGAAAAUCACCUGCGUGUAGUUGACAAUUCUGAGGCUUUUCCUGAGUAGAAGAGUCUGAGACAGGUGUCUAGACCACCGUCUCUAUUUAUAUUGUUCCCUGAUUUCCCCCAGAAUUUAGGUGGCUGUCACGCUGGCAGUUCAGUCUGAAACAGAGCACGGUUUGCAUGGAAAAUUUCUACUGUGAAAGUAGAACACCGCAGUACCGAACCCGAGACUACUUGUAGGAGCUGGUCUGAGUUCA